rnacentral:lncRNA from 10 species
AGUCUGGGAGGCUGGCGCAAACGCAGCGGGUGGCUGGGGUAGGGGCUCAUUGGGAGCCCACGGAGCGCGGCGGCGGCUCGGGGGCCGAGUUCCCUACAACAAGGAUGGCGGUGACGGGCGCAGGGAGCGGGGCCCGGCUCUCCUUGCCUCGAGGCUCCUCUGAUUCCACUCGCGUGGCUGCGCGGCCCUGGCAGCGGCCUUCGUCCCGGGGGUGGGAGCUACACAGGGUUCCGCCCCGUCCUGGCGAGGACGCCUGAGGGGGCUCUGUGAUAAAGAAAUGGGGGCUCCGAGCAGUCAAGAAGAACAUGCCCCAAGUUAUUCGUCAGUGAGGCGGAAAUUGUGGUGUACUUGUGUAAGUUCACAUUUUAUACUUUACCAUUAUACUGUGCUCCAAAUUAUCUGAUAUUUACUUUCAAAGCAUGUGUAGAAAGUUUACUAUGAUGAUGCAGAGACAUUGUACAGAAUCCAGUCCCUUGACUCUCAGGUCCCCAGAACACUCACUUCACGAUUUUGUUGACCUCUUCUGUCAACUUAAACCUGGCACUCUCUUGGCUGGCUUUCUCUGCUCUUUCUGGGCACUCCAAAGCUUCUGU